AGGGAAACAGGACAUCAUGGGUUGACGAUGCCUAUACACAGACAUUUUGGCCUUGAUCCGAGGGAAUUUCAAGAGAAAGAAAUACUGGAAAUUCAAUUUCUGCUUCCUCUGUCCAGAGAGUUUGUCACUUUUCUGCCUCUAGCUUCAAACUGUGACAUCAUUCCAAUCAGAAACGGAAGAAUGCCUUGCCAAAUUUAGAACAUACUUGAAGUCUGUGAUUUCAUACAUUUGAAAUGGAUUCAAAUCUUUAGAAGUCACUUGGUGAACUAUAAAAUAAAAGAACAUUAUUUCCUUUUUCCAAGAAAAGCAUCUCCCAACAGCUUCCUGGACAUCACAGUGAAUCUACGAAGCCAGACUUCGAUGAGCUAAGUUAGAUUCUUAUAUCAGCACCACGCAUUGUGUAAUAACAUCUUUGACAACAUCUGAGUUCUGUCACCUUAUAAGGCUUCUUCUCAAAUGGAAUGCAGCCAGCCUGGAAUAUUUCAUCAGCCUUCAAAGGAAAUGGAUGAGGGGAUCUUGAGAGUUGAAGGAUUUCGAUGUCAACAACCUACUUUGUAAUUAUUUGACAAUAAUUAAACAAUGAGAAUGAUUCAACAAAUGAAGGGAAGAACAAAGAGGAAGAAGAGGAGAAAGUGAAGAAGUGAUGACACAUGUACACUCCAAGGAAGAAAGAGGAGUAAAUA